ACACGUUUUCUCGGUAUUUCUUUGUCUACAUUUCUGGAAAAAAGCGGCGGCGAUCAACUCACUUUUUUCCAAAUGUAGACAAAGCAAAACCGUGAUGACGUCAA
rnacentral:pre_miRNA from 13 species